rnacentral:lncRNA from 1 species
UGACAAACUACAAGACGAUUUUAUGAAACAACUGUAUGCGGUCGAAGACAAAGAAAACUCGAAGUACUAUCAGUUGGAAAGGGAGGAAAAAGAAGUAGCAGAUUGUCAGAGAAAUAUUAUAAAUAUCAAACAACACGCAACGGAACUUCAGCUCUUCCUUUCAAUGAAGCAGAUAGAAGAGGACGUCUCAGUCAAAGAUAAAUUCCUGCACUCAUUAUGCCAAGAUGGGAAGUUGAAGAAGCAUUCCAUUGUAUAUGAGAUAAACGGUACUAUUCAGAAUAUCAUGUCUGAUAUCAAUAGUUUUGGGGAAGUAAAAAUUGAAACCAGACUUUGCAAUAUCGUUCUGAGCACGAAGAAGAAAAAACAAGCCCAGAUAAUGGUACCAACCGUUCAAGCAGGAUCCAUUGAAAAUACACACGUGCAGAUCAACAAGACAAUAAACACCGAAUAGUGGAGUUAAAGAGUU